UAGGGAAUAUUGCAAAAUGGGCGAAAGCCCGAUGCAGCAACGCCGCGUGGGCGAUGAAGGCCUUCGGGUCGUAAAGCCCUUUUUGAGGGGAUGAGGAAGGACAGUACCCUCAGAAUAAGCCUCGGCUAACUACGUGCCAGCAGCCGCGGUAAAACGUAGGAGGCGAGCGUUAUCCGGAUUUACUGGGCGUAAAGCGCGUGCAGGCGGAUUGGAGAGUUGGAUGUGAAAGCUCCCGGCUUAACUGGGAGAGGUCGUGCAAUACUUCCAGUCUUGAGUGCAGUAGAGGGAAGUGGAAUUCCGGGUGUAGUGGUGAAAUGCGUAGAUAUCCGGAGGAACACCAGUGGCGAAAGCGGCUUCCUGGACUGUAACUGACGCUCAGACGCGAAAGCUAGGGUAGCAAACG
rnacentral:rRNA from 1 species